UCCAUAAUUUUCUUCUAGAUUUAAAAAAGAUAGUUUUCUGGUUUUUUUUCAAACACAAUUUUUCCAUAAAAAAUUUAAUUUUUUCAUAUUUUUAUAAAAAUCCAAUUUUUCACAUUUUGAAAAGAAAAAAAUUAGUGUUGUCCGUUAGUCAAGGUUUUACUCGUUAAAAUUUUUUUUUCCAAAUUUUAAAAAAUUCCACAUGUUUUAAUUUCUUUUUAAAAGAAUAAAUCAAUUUUUCAAUAAUAAAAUGUCAUGUGCAAUUUAUUUU